rnacentral:rRNA from 1 species
AUUGAACGCUGGCGGCAGGCCUAACACAUGCAAGUCGAACGAGUGGCGGACGGGUGAACAAUGUCUGGGACACUGCCUUAUGGCGGGGGUUAACUACGGGAAACGGUAGUUAAUACCGCUUACCAUUAGCUGUUCCCUGAUGGCAUGAUGUAGUUGGUGGGGUAACGGCUCACCAAGGCGACGAUCCCUACCGGGUCUGAGAGCAUGACCAGCCACACUGGAACUGAGACACGGUCCAGACUCCUACGGGAGGCAGCAGUGGGGAAGAUUCCACAAUGGGCGCAAGCCUGAUGCAGCCAUGCCGCGUGUAUGAAGAAGGUCUUCGGGUUGUAAAGUACUUUUAGCAGGGAAGCGUUACCCGCAGAGGAAGCACCGGCUAACUCCGUGCCAGCCGCCGCGGUAAUUC